rnacentral:rRNA from 1 species
UUAAGCGACUAAGCGUACACGGUGGAUGCCCUGGCAGUCAGAGGCGAUGAAGGACGUGCUAAUCUGCGAUAAGCGUCGGUAAGGUGAUAUGAACCGUUAUAACCGGCGAUUUCCGAAUGGGGAAACCCAGUGUGUUUCGACACACUAUCAUUAACUGAAUCCAUAGGUUAAUGAGGCGAACCGGGGGAACUGAAACAUCUAAGUACCCCGAGGAAAAGAAAUCAACCGAGAUUCCCCCAGUAGCGGCGAGCGAACGGGGAGCAGCCCAGAGCCUGAAUCAGUGUGUGUGUUAGUGGAAGCGUCUGGAAAGGCGCGCGAUACAGGGUGACAGCCCCGUACACAAAAAUGCACAUGCUGUGAGCUCGAUGAGUAGGGCGGGACACGUGGUAUCCUGUCUGAAUAUGGGGGGACCAUCCUCCAAGGCUAAAUACUCCUGACUGACCGAUAGUGAACCAGUACCGUGAGGGAAAGGCGAAAAGAACCCCGGCGAGGGGAGUGAAAAAGAACCUGAAACCGUGUACGUACAAGCAGUGGGAGCACGCUUAGGCGUGUGACUGCGUACCUUUUGUAUAAUGGGUCAGCGACUUAUAUUCUGUAGCAAGGUUAACCGAAUAGGGGAGCCGAAGGGAAACCGAGUCUUAACUGGGCGUUAAGUUGCAGGGUAUAGACCCGAAACCCGGUGAUCUAGCCAUGGGCAGGUUGAAGGUUGGGUAACACUAACUGGAGGACCGAACCGACUAAUGUUGAAAAAUUAGCGGAUGACUUGUGGCUGGGGGUGAAAGGCCAAUCAAACCGGGAGAUAGCUGGUUCUCCCCGAAAGCUAUUUAGGUAGCGCCUCGUGAAUUCAUCUCCGGGGGUAGAGCACUGUUUCGGCAAGGGGGUCAUCCCGACUUACCAACCCGAUGCAAACUGCGAAUACCGGAGAAUGUUAUCACGGGAGACACACGGCGGGUGCUAACGUCCGUCGUGAAGAGGGAAACAACCCAGACCGCCAGCUAAGGUCCCAAAGUCAUGGUUAAGUGGGAAACGAUGUGGGAAGGCCCAGACAGCCAGGAUGUUGGCUUAGAAGCAGCCAUCAUUUAAAGAAAGCGUAAUAGCUCACUGGUCGAGUCGGCCUGCGCGGAAGAUGUAACGGGGCUAAACCAUGCACCGAAGCUGCGGCAGCGACGCUUAUGCGUUGUUGGGUAGGGGAGCGUUCUGUAAGCCUGUGAAGGUGUACUGUGAGGUAUGCUGGAGGUAUCAGAAGUGCGAAUGCUGACAUAAGUAACGAUAAAGCGGGUGAAAAGCCCGCUCGCCGGAAGACCAAGGGUUCCUGUCCAACGUUAAUCGGGGCAGGGUGAGUCGACCCCUAAGGCGAGGCCGAAAGGCGUAGUCGAUGGGAAACAGGUUAAUAUUCCUGUACUUGGUGUUACUGCGAAGGGGGGACGGAGAAGGCUAUGUUGGCCGGGCGACGGUUGUCCCGGUUUAAGCGUGUAGGCUGGUUUUCCAGGCAAAUCCGGAAAAUCAAGGCUGAGGCGUGAUGACGAGGCACUACGGUGCUGAAGCAACAAAUGCCCUGCUUCCAGGAAAAGCCUCUAAGCAUCAGGUAACAUCAAAUCGUACCCCAAACCGACACAGGUGGUCAGGUAGAGAAUACCAAGGCGCUUGAGAGAACUCGGGUGAAGGAACUAGGCAAAAUGGUGCCGUAACUUCGGGAGAAGGCACGCUGAUAUGUAGGUGAAGUCCCUCGCGGAUGGAGCUGAAAUCAGUCGAAGAUACCAGCUGGCUGCAACUGUUUAUUAAAAACACAGCACUGUGCAAACACGAAAGUGGACGUAUACGGUGUGACGCCUGCCCGGUGCCGGAAGGUUAAUUGAUGGGGUCAGCGCAAGCGAAGCUCUUGAUCGAAGCCCCGGUAAACGGCGGCCGUAACUAUAACGGUCCUAAGGUAGCGAAAUUCCUUGUCGGGUAAGUUCCGACCUGCACGAAUGGCGUAAUGAUGGCCAGGCUGUCUCCACCCGAGACUCAGUGAAAUUGAACUCGCUGUGAAGAUGCAGUGUACCCGCGGCAAGACGGAAAGACCCCGUGAACCUUUACUAUAGCUUGACACUGAACAUUGAGCCUUGAUGUGUAGGAUAGGUGGGAGGCUUUGAAGUGUGGACGCCAGUCUGCAUGGAGCCGACCUUGAAAUACCACCCUUUAAUGUUUGAUGUUCUAACGUUGACCCGUGAUCCGGGUUGCGGACAGUGUCUGGUGGGUAGUUUGACUGGGGCGGUCUCCUCCUAAAGAGUAACGGAGGAGCACGAAGGUUGGCUAAUCCUGGUCGGACAUCAGGAGGUUAGUGCAAUGGCAUAAGCCAGCUUGACUGCGAGCGUGACGGCGCGAGCAGGUGCGAAAGCAGGUCAUAGUGAUCCGGUGGUUCUGAAUGGAAGGGCCAUCGCUCAACGGAUAAAAGGUACUCCGGGGAUAACAGGCUGAUACCGCCCAAGAGUUCAUAUCGACGGCGGUGUUUGGCACCUCGAUGUCGGCUCAUCACAUCCUGGGGCUGAAGUAGGUCCCAAGGGUAUGGCUGUUCGCCAUUUAAAGUGGUACGCGAGCUGGGUUUAGAACGUCGUGAGACAGUUCGGUCCCUAUCUGCCGUGGGCGCUGGAGAACUGAGGGGGGCUGCUCCUAGUACGAGAGGACCGGAGUGGACGCAUCACUGGUGUUCGGGUUGUCAUGCCAAUGGCACUGCCCGGUAGCUAAAUGCGGAAGAGAUAAGUGCUGAAAGCAUCUAAGCACGAAACUUGCCCCGAGAUGAGUUCUCCCUGACUCCUUGAGAGUCCUGAAGGAACGUUGAAGACGACGACGUUGAUAGGCCGGGUGUGUAAGCGCAGCGAUGCGUUGAGCUAACCGGUACUAAUGAACCGUGAGGCUUAACCUU